GCAUGACAGGGGAUGAUGAUCAUUUCUUUGCAUCCCCUUUCAAAGUGUGAAAACUUCCUUUUUCUGUAAAGUCUCAUUCUCGGAGUGAGGCUGUGUGUGACAGACUGAUACAAGUGGGUCCUCUGAGGAAUCCAGUUGUCGUCCCACAUGAGAUGGAGGCUCAGACAGUCACGUGGUUGGUUUUUCUGGCCCUAAUAAAACAUGUUUCUACAAGUGACCCUGGAAGUCCCGUUAAAUACCCGCCCACUAAACCUAAACUGUCUAUGAGUUCUGAGGUCACAGAAGGUCAGACCAUCACCAUCAGCUGCACUGUUGAAAGUUUCCCACAGUCAACUCUCACCUUGAUGAAGAUCAACACAAAUCCUCAGUCUUUAAAAAGCACUGAAAAUAAUAUUUAUUCACAAACCAGCAACUCCCUCUACCACACGUUUACUGUGACUUCAUCCGACGCUGGCUGGUACUUCUGCCGUGCCCAGAACACUGAGGGCUCAAAGGACAGCAAGCAGCAGGAGUUGGUGGUGAAAUGUGAGUGUUUCAGCUGCGGCUUUAUGUUUUAAACAAACAAAUCAGAAAAAAUCUUCCAUAAAAAAAAUUGUCAAUGCAGCAGAAAAAUCUUCUCAUGUAUUUUUUCAGUGAUCCAGUUUUUUCAUUAAUUUUUACUUCUGAUAGUUGAAACAACAGCACCUCAGGAAUUUAUAACCGUAAGAACUUAAAUCUCAGGGCUCUUGUUUCAAAAGCUUUGUCCCCAAACUUUGUCUUCAUGUAUAGAUUUAGUUUGAAUUCUGAACUAAAAUCUUCUGCAUAGUAUUCACAAUAUUACAUUCUUAGUGGACCAU